UUCCCUUCACCCUAGCAGCCGCAGCCUCACCUCCCUCAACACAUAGUUUUUCCCCUUAACCCUACCCUGUCUUCCCUUUCACCUUCAGCAAGUUCACCGAACUUGAAGCCUAUAGCAGUACCCACGAUUUCCUUUUCUUGUUCCAUGGAGGAAGGAAACAGAAUCAAGAAAGGGGGAUCGAGCCAGAAGAAGGGAAGGAGAGGGAAAGGGCUUGGCGCCGCCGUUCAGUUCGCCACCAAGACCGCGCCGGCGUGCUGGACCUCACCGCCGCCGUCGCGCCAUCGUCGAACUAUGGAGGGAAAGGGAGUGUCGCGAGUCACCGUCCCUGAGCUGCAGCACCAUGGAGCCAUCCUGGUCGUGCCGCCUCUGCUGUUCGUGCUACCGUCGUCGACCAAGCUCGUCGCCGUCUCUGCCCAGCGCCGCCGCAGAUGAUGGGUCGCCGAGAAAUGCCACCGUUGCUACUAUCAUCUUCGCGGUUUGAGUUGUUGCAGUUGCUCCUCGCGGUGAAGCCCGUCAUGAGCGCCGCUGUCAGCCUCAUGCUUCUGGGUGCCGUUGGUAGGGUCGCGCCGGCCAGAUCUGCUGCAAGAGAAUGGGAAUGGAAGCGUUCCUCAGAUGGCAACCGGAGCUCGGCAGGGGCUGUGCGCCGUCACUGAAAUCGCACGCACAGAGAGAUGAGACGUGAGAGGGAGGCUGUGCGUUCCGUCGCGCGCGUCACCACCCAAGGACCGUCGCUGCUGCCGCUGGGAACCGCUACUGGAGCCUGUGUCAUUUGGAUUUCAUCGCGAGUUACCUCCACCAGAAACCACCGCUGUGAUUCUGAUCACCGGGGACGACUCUGUGACUUUCGGGAUCACCGCUGAAGCUCCAGGCAGAGUUUCUGCCGCUUGAGACCUUGCUGCUGUCGCCGGAAAAUUUUGCCGUUGAUCCACCGGAGCUUCUGGCCGCCGCCGGAGCUGUGCCGGGGCCGGUUCGAAUCCGCAGCUGCUUCGUGUUGUUAUUCCGAGUUGUUUAUGCUGCUGCGAAAAUGUGUGGGGCUGUGCUUUGAAGCUGCCUUUGAUUUUGAGUUGAGGCGAAAAAGGACUCUGUGACGUGUUUGAGUUAUGGAAAUUGCGUUUUGAGGAUAUGGGCGCAGAAGUUACGAAGAAUUUAUUUAGUUAUUGUUGUGAUGUUCUGUAUUGCUUUGGACUAUUAAUUAUUGUACCCUCGCCUUUAUCUUGAUAUAUUCUAUAAGAGGGAUAGGGAUUGUAUUGGUUAAUGUCUGUAAUAUUAUUUAUAUAUAUGUAUGUAUAUAUAUGGAUGUACUCUUUAUGAGUUUUUGUAA